ACACGCAUGACACACUGCAUAUCAAUAAGCGGAGGAAAAGAAACUAACAAGGAUUCCCUUAGUAACGGCGAGUGAAGCGGGAAGAGCUCAAAUUCGAAAUCUUCAAGGUUCUACCUUGACGAAUUGUAGUUUAUAGAAGUGUUUUCUGUUAGUGGAGUGGCAAAAGUUCUUUGGAAUAGGACAUCAUAGAGGGUGAGAAUCCCGUAUUUGGUCAUUCCUCCUAGUGUUGUGAUACACUUUCAACGAGUCGGAUUGUUUGGGAAUGCAGUCCAAAAUGGGUGGUAAAUUUCAUCUAAAGCUAAAUAUUGGCGAGAGACCGAUAGCGAACAAGUACCGUGAGGGAAAGAUGAAAAGAACUUUGAAAAGAGAGUUAAACAGUACGUGAAAUUGUCAAAAGGGAAGCGUUUGACACCAGUGUUGUUUUUCCGAAAAUCAAUUACGAAUGUUUUAGUUUUUGAGGAGUUAUGACUUCAUCGGCUUGCUCCUUUCUUUAUGAAACUUUCUUAAUGCACUUUUCGGUUAACAAGUCAACAUCAAUUUCUUUUGUUGUAAAAGGGUAUGAGGAAGGUGGCUUUCUUUUCGGAGAAAGUGUUUAUAGUCUUGUGCCUCUGCAAUCGGAGAGAUUGAGGUCUGCAGCCUAGAUCCUUCGGGGUUAGAUACGUUUGUGCUAAGUUAUAGCUUUUCAUAGACAACUUGUUGACUAUGUUUAGUCUUGUAGCUUACUCGCUUACGCUAUUUUACCUACGCUUAGGAUGUUGAACUACUGAGACAUAGA
rnacentral:rRNA from 1 species